GGCGAACGGGUGAGUAACACGUGGGUGAUCUGCCCUGCACUUCGGGAUAAGCCUGGGAAACUGGGUCUAAUACCGGAUAGGAGCCAUUUUUAGUGUGAUGGUUGGAAAGUCUUUCGGUGUAGGAUGAGCUCGCGGCCUAUCAGCUUGUUGGUGGGGUAAUGGCCUACCAAGGCGGCGACGGGUAGCCGGCCUGAGAGGGUGGACGGCCACAUUGGGACUGAGAUACGGCCCAG
rnacentral:rRNA from 1 species